rnacentral:rRNA from 1 species
GGUUGAUCCUGCCAGUAGUCAUAUGCUUGUCUCAAAGAUUAAGCCAUGCAUGUCUCAGUGUAAACUUUUAAACGGUGAAACUGCGAAUGGCUCAUUAAAACAGUUAUAGUUUAUUUGAUAAUCACUUUUACAUGGAUAACCGUGGUAAUUCUAGGGCUAAUACAUGCGUAAACCCCGUAAGGGGUGUGUUUAUUAGAUUUUAAACCAACUCUGGGUAACCAGGUACAUUGGAAUGAUAAUAACCGAACGAAUCGCACUUCGUAGUAGCGAUAGAUCAUUCAAGUUUCUGAC